UCCUCGGUAGCUCAGCGGUAGAGCCCUCGACUGUUAAUCGAGUUGUCGUAGGUUCGAAUCCUACCCGGGGAG
rnacentral:tRNA from 1 species